rnacentral:rRNA from 1 species
AUUGAACGCUGGCGGCAUGCCUUACACAUGCAAGUCGAACGGUAACAGGUUAAGCUGACGAGUGGCGAACGGGUGAGUCAUACAUCGGAACGUGCCCAGUAGUGGGGGAUAGCCCGGCGAAAGCCGGAUUAAUACCGCAUACGACCUAAGGGUGAAAGGGGGUGAUCGCAAGCCCUCUCGCUAUUGGAGCGGCCGAUGUUAGAUUAGCUAGUUGGGGGGUUAAAAGAUCACUAAGGCGACGAGCUGUAGCUGGUCGGAGAGGACGACCAGCCACAGUGGGGCUGCGACGCCGAGACGACUCCUAGGGGACGCAGUGGGGAAUUUUGGACAAUGGGCGCAAGCCUGAUCCAGCCAUGCCGCGUGCGGGAAGAAGGCCUUCGGGUUGUAAACCGCUUUUGUCGGGGAAGAAAUCCUUUGGGUUAAUACCUCGGGGGGAUGACGGUACCUGAAGAAUAAGCACCGGCUAACUACGUG